rnacentral:lncRNA from 1 species
GAUAUAAGAUUGUUUGAUGUACAUGAACAUCUUUGUUAGAUGCUUCCUAUUAUCUACCAUUUAAUGGUGUGCUGCAUGUUGUUGUUGAUGGUGCUAUGCAACUCCUAGAAAGCAAAGAAUUACAAUGGCUAGUGGGGUACACCUUCAAUGAUUAGACUCCUAGGGAGUGGCGUAGCCAAGAAUUAUAACAAGAGUAUUCAAAAAUUUGCAAGAAUGCUACUCCUGGGAUUUAAACCUAUUUUUCCCAAAGCGUUUUUUAACCACCUUCGCCACUGGACUGGAAUAUUUUCUUAUGUCAUGGGGACUCAAUAUAUAUAUAUAUAUAUAUAUAUAUGCAAAAAGUUUACUUUUGCUGUAGUUGUACUAAUAAUUUUCCUAUAAAGCUAAUUCAACUGAACCUCCUUGCAUCUAUCUAACAUCCCCCUCCUCCUAGGAACUGCUAUAACUGCGAACAUUUAGAAUUUCUAUAUUCUGACCCCACUGGGGUGCAGCGCUCCGGACUUUGAAAUUUGGAAAAAAAAGAAGCUUUUUUUUGGAGAGAGACGGUGGGGAAUGUUGAGGAGGAGUUUUGAAGAAUCUAUUCCAUGUUCUUGAUAAGGAAAACAUUUUCCUCCGAUUGGAGGAGAAUAAUUUGAUAAGGAAAAUGUUUUCCAAAACAUUUAAGCGAACCAGACAUGGGAAAAUUGGAAAACAUUUUCCGGAAAAUAUUUUCCUUCGUACCAAACACACCCUGAGGCUUUUACCUUUCAUCAAAUAAUCAUAUGAUUUAGGCGAUCUUUGGCUUAUGUAGAUAUGAUGAAUCAGAAAGAAGCUACAAAAAGUUUCUGGAGAUGAAACCAGGAGACUCAGCUGCGGAAAAGGAGCUUUCUCAAUUGCACCAAUCUAAGAGUGCUUUUGAUUCAGCUACCAACCUUUUGGACACAGGUGACAUUAAAAAAGCAUUGGAGUAUAUUGAUAAAGUCGUACUCGUUUUCUCUCCAGCGUGCUGCUACCAACCUGUUGGACACAGGUGACAUUAAAAAAGCAUUGGAGUACAUUGAUAAAGUUGUACUCAUUUUCUCUCCAGCGUGCUCCAAGGUAUUCAUUUCUAACAAUUUGAGGCUUUUGUCAUUGUUACAGAUGAAGUCAUAUUGUGUUAUUCUCCUAACUUCCUGUGGAAAAGCCACUUGGUGUUACGCUGAGCAUGAUGGUUUCUUAAUGUGAAUUUCUAGG